AAUGAAAAAGAGAGGGGUAAGGGCGUUCCUUAGAUAGGGGGGACCGACUUGUUUCCCAGUAGUCGAGGUAGUUCUGUGCAGUGAAGGGGAGCAUCUCAUCAACGAAUAUCCUAGGGCAUUAAGAGAGAGGUCGUAAACGAAAAACAACUACAAAAAGAAAAAUGUUGCUCCACAACCACCUUGAUAUGAUCGGGAGGAACGAGCCGAUCCAGAGGAAAGCCAAAUUCUGGCAGUCUUAUGUCAGAGCUCUUAAAGGCACUGAUGACAUAAGGGCACCAGAGGCGUCCCACUACUCUCGCUACCCAUCAUCCAGGGGUCUUUUCCGUCCCCUUCUCGACUCUUUCCCAACUUGGCCCCACGUCAAGUCUAUGUACGACGACCCGAUCGCCCCGUCCGACAGGAUCUCCGUCCCUGGCUACCGUUACCUCCCUAUAUCCAGGGAAACAUACGGCCUUUCCCCGAGGAACAUCUACCCACAUCACUACUCGAGCCUGGACCGUUAUCCGCGCACCGAAUACUACUAUCCUUUUACUGACUGGGAUCGUCUUGACCGCCAACCUGAACAUAAGUACCUGAACCCGGCCUACAGGAAGCCAUUUGUUAAGGAGUACACUAUUGGACCCGAUGGAGCCAAAGUUCCACUUUACACGUAUACAGAUUUACCCAAGGUGACUAUCAAGAGCGUAUUCCUCAAACCGUUCGUCCCACCGUACAGCACUCCGAUCUACAGCCGUGGAGGAAUCACCAGGAGGCCAUUGACUGACCUCUUCUCUCCCAGGAGCUAUGUCCCUUUGUCGAGGUACACCAGAGACCCUUGGUGGUGGUCAUACCCAUCACUUAAGCCGUUUGAAUCACUUUAUUCAAGACACUCUCCUUUCUAUCUGAGGGACAGCUACUUGUCCCCUGUCAAGAAUACUUACCUUUGGCGGGAUCAUCCUUUCCGUGCCUUCUGGUGAUUGGAAUCACAAAGGUUUUCAAACAAUGCAGAGAAAUAAUGCUAUAAUUAUUGCUAAUCCCAGCUACAAAAAACUACACCCAGGUUGUACUACUAAACUGGAUGAUCAAUAGGGGGAAGCAGUGAAAAUUCAUCAAAAAUGAAAUCUCUAAAUCAAAAUAACUAUUUUUGUAAAAAAUCCAAAAAUUAAACAAGA